UGUUCGUUUUUAAACUACCGAACUAGACCGACCGCAAGCCCUGAUUCUCUGGAACUGUUUUGGGCAUGGGACCAUGUGGGCGGUUGGUCAAAAUGAAGACUUCCAGGAAAUUCCUGAACCCCUGAACUGAUAUGAGUGAAUUUUUGAUAUGUUGGUCACCCAGAUCAGGGCUAUCAGGGGAUGUAACUUUUGUGGGGUUUUUAUGUAUUUUUAGGGUACUUUUGGGGUGUUUGGUAAAAAGUGUUUUUUUUCUGUGCUUGGAGAUAAUUGGAUUAUAUUAGUACAGUUCUGUG